rnacentral:tRNA from 1 species
GUUCCAACCAGGAAGGCAUCCAGCAGGUUUCCAACCUGCUGACGCCGCUGGGCGUUUCCGUCUACGGCUUUGAUCU